CAGUACCUCAAGUGGUCAGGAUGAUUAUUGGGCCUAAAGCAUCCGUAGCCGGCGCUGUAAGUUUUCGGUUAAAUCUGUACGCUCAACGUACAGGCUGCCGGGAAUACUGCAGCGCUAGGGAGUGGGAGAGGUAGACGGUACUCGGUAGGAAGGGGUAAAAUCCUUUGAUCUAUUGAUGACCACCUGUGGCGAAGGCGGUCUACCAGAACACGUCCGACGGUGAGAGAUGAAAGCUGGGGGAGCAAACCGGAUUAGAUACCCGAGUAGUCC
rnacentral:rRNA from 1 species